rnacentral:lncRNA from 1 species
AAUUCCUCCUAAUCCACUGUUUGCUUUGUAUGGUUUCAGCUACCUGCAGUCAACCACGGUCCAAGAAUACUAACUGGAAAAUUGCAGAAAUAAACAGCUCGAAAAAAAGGUGUAAUUCAACAUCCUGUUUCUCCGGAACCCUUGAAUUUCAGCCCCCAUGCCUACCAAAAAGAUAUUUUUGAAGUAUCAUGCUUAAAACUUUUCAAAUACGC